UCUUGUUUAUUCAAUGCAAAAGAAUCCUCUCCAAUUUUACUGAGGUGGCUGACCACGUCCACGACCAAAUCCGUCUCUAAACUGGAAUUCAGCUGCUGACCCAGCCCCAGCCUCAGCUUUCUUGUCGGCACUAAGUGGCACAGCACUCCAUCUGUGAGUAAGUGUACUGGAGAGAGUUGGUUAUACAUUCUAGGAAUCUCAAAGGUAAAGUAUGAUUUAAAAAUAAUUUUUUAAGAUAAUUAUUUUUUUAAGUUUGCAUACAGCUACAGUUUUUAA
rnacentral:sRNA from 1 species